rnacentral:rRNA from 1 species
CCUACCGGGUGGCAGCAGUGAGGAAUAUUGGUCAAUGGGCGAGAGCCUGAACCAGCCAAGUCGCGUGAGGGAAGACGUUCCUCUGGAUUGUAAACCUCUUUUUUCGGGGAGCAAACAGGCCUCGUGAGGCCCCCAGUGCGAGUACCCGAAGAAAAAGCAUCGGCUAACUCCGUGCCAGCAGCCGCGGUAAUACGGAGGCUGCGAGCGUUAUCCGGAUUUAUUGGGUGUAAAGGGUGCGUAGGCGGACGGGAAAGUCAGCGGUAAAAUCGAGAGGCGCAACCUCUUUCCGCCGUUGAAACUGUCGGUCUUGAGUGGGCGAGAAGUACGCGGAAUGCGUGGUGUAGCGGUGAAAUGCAUAGAUAUCACGCAGAACUCCGAUUGCGAAGGCAGCAUACCGGCGCCCGACUGACGCUGAGGCACGAAAGCGUGGGUAUCGAACAGGAUUAGAUACCCCAGUAGUC